rnacentral:snoRNA from 1 species
UCCCAAUGCUCUUGUCAGGAUACUUCUGCUUCAUUGCCCUCUCUGGAAGAUAUCUGUUACAGCGUUGGAAAAUCAAACUUCGAGCUUGCUGCUCUCCGGUCUUCGGACUGGUGAGCUGACUGCGUUCCGUUUUGGGACGCUCUCAUAAGUUUCGCCGUGGUUCACUGAGUUGAGGUCUAUCUCUACCGCUAUUAGGUAGCUUUAUGAUAGGCUUCUUAGUUACGAGUCAUACAUUU